rnacentral:tmRNA from 1 species
GGGGAUGACCAGGAUUUGACUUUAUUGAUCCCUGGUAAAAGUGCAAGCCAGAACGCAUAACGCUGUAAAGGUCUGCAAAAAUACAUGCCAAUGAUGACAUGGAAUACGCAUAUGUGGGAGCACCAGCUUUCGCAGGCGUUGCUGCUUAAUUUUUUUAACGCAGCAAGUGUUUAAUCUUCUGUCUAUAGAAGGUUAAAACGCUUCAUAAAGAUAGACUGAGGCUGUUAGCAGAAAUAGCCCGCUUGUUAGUGCCAAGUAGCCGAACUACAAAAGGGUAACCCAAGGACUUGCGGAAAGAGGUAGGUCGGUUAAACACCUUAUCUUUUCUAAGAACAAGUUUAACUAAGCUUGUAGUACUUUUAUUAAGGCAAUUUAGGACGCGGGUUCGAUUCCCGCCAUCUCCACCA